UACUGAAUAAGAAAGAGAUAAAGAGUUGGCUUACAAUCGCCACUUCACACAAUACAUAAAAAUAACAUUACAUCAUCCAGAAUACAAUCAAGGUCCGACUAUGGAACCAAAUAGAGAAAGACAACCCCUAAUGCAAAAGAUCCCCGAUCGCCCCAAUUGGGCUCCACUACUGAUCGGCCGGAAAGAAAACAUAAUAACGUCCUAAAUCCUCGUCGAACUCCCACUUGAGUUCGGUCGCGUCCCCUGCACUAGCAUUGUCGGCACCUGCAUCUAAUUUUGGAAGUAAUCUUUGAGUCAUGGGGACUCAACAAUCUCACACCCUCACGAUCAAAACUAUUUAAGCUUAUGGGUAGGAAAGGGGUAAUGAGGUGGAGCUGCAGUAAGCACUAGCAUAUACGGUGGCUAAUAUACACAAAUAAGAGCGAGAAGAGAAGCAAAGCAACUGUCGUGAACUAGAAGUGAUCAAGAAGUGAUCCUGAAGCUACUUACAUCCAAGCAUAACACAAGAACCGUGUUCACUUCCCGGACUCCGCCGGAAAGAAACCAUCAAGGCUACACACGCGGUUGAUGCAUUUUAAUUAUGUUAAGUUUCAAGUUUUCUACAACCGGACAUUAACAAAUUCCCAUCUUCCCAUAACCGCGGGCACGGCUUUUGAAAGUUCAAACCCUGUAGGAGUGUCCCAACUUAGCUCAUCACAAGCUCUCACGGUCAACGAAGGAUAUUCCUUCUCCCGAGAAGACCCGAUAAGACUCAGAAUCCCGGUUACAAGACAUUUCGACAAUGGUAAAACAAGACCAGCAAGACCGCCUGAUGCGUCAACAUCCCGAUAGGAGCUGCACAUAUCUCGUUCUCAGGGCAACACCAGAUGAACACUACGUACAACUAAAACCAACCCUCAAGUUUCCCCGAGGUGGCGCUGCAAGUGGCUCUGUUUCGGACCAACACUUAGAGAAGCACUGGCCCGGGGGGGUUAAUUAAAGAUGACCCUCGAGAGAGCGACUCCCAAGGGAAAAGUAGGUGGUGGUGAGGCAAAUGGUAAAACCAAGAUUGGGCCUUGCUGGAGGAGUUUUAUUCAAGGCGAACUGUCAAGGGGUCCCCAUAACACCCAACCAUGUAAGGAACGCAAAAUCAAGGAACAUAAUACCGGUAUGACGAAAACUAGGGCGACAUGAGUGGAACAAAACACCAGGCAUAAGGCCGAUCCUUCCACCCUUUACCAAGUAUAUAGAUGCAUUAAUUAAAAUAAGAGAUAUUGUGAUAUCCCAACAAAUCCAUGUUUCAACAUGGAACAAACUUCAUCUUCACCUGCAACUAGCAACGCUAUAAGAGGGGUUGAGCAAAGCGGUAACAUAGCCAAACAACGGUUUGCUAGGAAAGGUGGGUUAGAGGCUUGACAUGGCAAUAUGGGAGGCAUGAUAAAGCAAGUGGUAGGUAUUUUGGCAUAGCAAUAGAGCGAGCAACUAGAAAGCAAAGAUAGAAGUGAUUUCGAGGGUAUGGUCAUCUUGCCUGAGAUCGCGCAAGGAAGAAGAAUGAGUCCAUGAAUAAGACACGCGGACGUAGUCGAACGAAUCCUCACAAACGCGACGUUAUCGGAACCAACCCAAAGAAGCAACACCAGAAAGAAGCAAACAACAUGGUAAACAACCAUCACAUAAACAUGGCAUGAUGCACAAUCAAGUAUGAUGCAUGUCCGGUUUAAUGAGGCAUGGCAUGGCAAAAUGUACAAACAAUCCUACAAAUUAAGUGGAGCUCAAUAUGCAACGAAUUGCAUAUUGAUGAAACACCACAUGACUUAUUUAGUUCUCUCUCAGUUAUGUACCCAACAAUAUUAAAUGUUGUUAAACAUGGCAAGAGGGUGAAGCAUAAGUAAACUAACUAUCUAGUCAAGUUUAAAUGAGGCCGGAAACAACAAACAACAAUUCCGGAAAAUCCCCAUACGCAUAUUUAUGGAUUUUGUACUGUUCUGAACUAAACCAUAUUUUAGAGUUGUUAAACAUGCAAAACAAGUACACCAUGUUAAACUAGGCAUUUUUCUACCCUAUUUACAUGUCAAGUUUAUUUAAAAUGGAGCUACGUUAUUAAGUUAUGAAAUAAAUCAUUUUAGCAUGCAAUUGAGCAAAUAAAGCAAACAAUAAGUUUAAACAUUUUAGACAUGCAUGAAAGUUGGAUAUUAUGAAACUAGAUGAAAUUUUAGUCAUAUUUCAUAUAUAAAGUCUUUACAUAUGAUGCAUUAUUCAUAAGUUAUUAUAUGCAUGAAGACUAGGGGUUUUUCUGUAAAACCAAUGUCUCUGGAAAAUUUAGCAAAAAUCGCAUAUGCAAAAAAAACUUACAUGGGCCGAAUCUGCUGGCCCGACAGCAGGGAAAAGAAAAAAAUAGGAGGCGCUGGGAGCUUCUCACCCAUGGGCUUUGGCCCAAGGCGGUGGAGAGGGAGUAGAAGGGCCAGCCCAGGGGACGGAGAACGCUGUUGGGCCUCACUGGAGAGGUCAAUGCACAGCGCAGCGUUCAUCGUCUCGUUCCAGGAGAUCGAGCGAGGCAGGGAAAGGAGCGAGACUUGGCGAUGGCCUCGUCCUCGUGUGCUCGCACGACCGAAGCAGGGGACGGGUCGACGCGAGCAGUGAGACAACGAGUGAACGGCUCCUGGCGAGGCUGGUCCAACCGUAGUUCGGCAGGGCUUCGAACGCGGGGAGUCAACGGCGUUGUCUUCGAGCUCGCUGACGGCGGUGACAGCACAGGAUGGGUGAGGACGGAGGAGAUCCAGGGUGGCACGGUCUUGGGCGUUCGGAUCCACCGGCCAAGACGAGGCAAGGGCGGGGUUCUCGUCGAGGCGCUGGCCUGAUGUACAGGAAGCAGACGGGAAGGAGAAGCUGCAAGCGGGGCGAGGCCGUGACUAGAGUUGGAGACAAGGUGGAGCGGCGCUGGGGACCUGCUGGAGCUUGUCGGCACAAUGGAGUCUGGCGGGAGGCGGAGGUCUCGGGCGGACGACGACAGGCUUGAGCUCCUGCAAUUCCAUGGCGUUCUCCUACGAAGAACAGAGAGGGCGGGAGAUACUUGAGUGAGAACGAAAAGAGGAAACAGGGAGGAAGGGGACAUGAGGAGAAGGGAGGCGAGGCCGGCCUGGCGGUGCUGGUCGCCGGCGGCGACGUCCGGUUGAGGGAGAGGCGACGGGAUUGAGGCGCGGGCGUAGUAGCUCGAUGGUUGGGCGUUGAGCACGGGCUUGAGGUCCCGCGGGUGCUGGUGCGGUGAGGUGCUCAGGCAGGGGAAGCAACAUCCACGGGGAUCGGGAGGAGGCGCGGGGUUUGGUCAGGCACAGAAACUUAGGAGGUGGGUGGUGAUGGAUCUGGGUGAUGGGAUGGAGUGUGAUGGCGGCGGCUGGGAGGAUCCCAAGGAAAUAUGAUUAGGUCCAAAAUAGACUAGGGGUAGACUAUAUAUACGGGAAAAGAGGGAAGUUGGAUCAUUUGAUUAGAAUCGGGCGGUUCAGAAUCUAUAGGUUAGAAAGACCAAACAAGGAAACGGUGAUGUCUUAUAGACGUUUGGGGAUGAUCCGGACCCAACGGUGACGACUGCCCGGGUCGGGUUCGAGACAACUUUUAGACGUGCGCGAGGGGCCGAUGCACUGUGCAAGGAGGGGGUUUCGGGGCCUGGCAGUUGGUAGUGGGCCGUGUAGAUGGUCUAGGGAGGAAAGAGAGGGAAAGCCCGGCAACAGGUUCCGGAGAUUGAAAACGUCCGAUGAUAGACCGGCUACUAUUGCGGCUAUAGUUUAAUGGUUAGGCUAUCAAACGAACUUCGAAUGCGAUGAAACUUGGCACGCGGCCUACCUACAACAUAACAACACCGCAUGCCAACUUUCAACCCAUUCCGAGAACAUUUUCCGGCCACUUAUAAAAAUACUAUUUCGGACGUGCCGCGGGCGCGUGCAAGUGUGUCUGGGCUUAGAACAGACAAUGAAAGGAACUGGGAGACCGGGACAGAUGCACGUUUUAAAACAUGAUGAUGCAAUGCCCAUGAUGACAUGAUAAGAUGCAACACGCAAGCAAAUGACAUGGCAACAUCGACGAAUAACUGGAAGACACCUGGCGCGUCGGUCUCGGGGCGUCAAAACACUCCACCACUACGAGAGGAUCUUGUCCCGAGAUCUAGGAUGGCACCGGAGAAACAACGAAAGAGGAAGAGAAAAGGUAAAACUAAGUUUCUUCUUUGACAAAUGAGUGAAACCAAAGAACCAUGCGAGAUUGAACAAAUUGAAAUAAAGAAUACAACGAAGAUGAAUGAAGUUGAAAACACUCUGUUAGGAAAGAGGAACAAGGAACAUUAAAGGUCAAUUACGACAACACUCCGGUUGGAAAUAGAAGGUAAAGAAUAUGAGCUUGGCAAAAUGAAAGCACUUGGAUGAGAGUCCGGUUAGAAGAGGAAUGAUAGACACAACACUCCGGUUAAACAAGAUAGAGAAGGAAUAAGAAUGAUAUGAUUUGGACAGCACCCCGACCGUAAAUGGAAGGAAUUGAAGAUGAGCUUUACAAGAUGAGAAGAUACUUGAUGAAAUCAACAACACACUGCCUCCGGAACGAUUGAAAUAAUGGCACAAGGGUAAGAAAGAUUUCAUACAGCACUCCGGUUGAGAAGAGAUGCAAGACUUGACAGAAUGGGAAGAACUUGAAAAGAGGGCACGACACUCCGGUUAAAAGGACCAGAAAGGAAAAGAAUAUGAUCAAGAUAUGACAAAAUGAUGGUUCGAAGAGAGCAAUGUGACAAAGCCUCCGAUGAAAGAAUAGAAUAUAGAUCAAUGAAAGAAAAUGAACGGAGAAGAAAAUGACAACUUCUCCCAUAAUUGAAUUAGAAAGAGCAUCCUUACAAAGAUGGAUUGAACAGAGUUGUUGGAAGAAUCAACAACGAAAAGAAUAAACUUGAUGUGGGCUUAUGGAAAACAUCUCAAAACUUGAGGUGAAAUUCCGCCACUAACUUAAACAAUUGAUUUGAUUGAGAGCACCAAAGAGAUGAUUUUUUUUCCACCAAGAUGAUAAAAAAGAUAACUUGGAACAUUGAUAAGCACCACAAUAGCAACAUUCCCAAUGGAAGGCUUUAGGUGAAAUCUAUACCAAGAUAACUCGAAUGAAGAGAUUGAUGGAUUGAGAAGAGCUUAUGCUCGAAGAAAUAGAUGGGUUUAACUACCUCAUUCUUGACAACUGUUGAAUCAUGAGACACGAAAGAAAUUGUCAAGAAUGACAUAACACCACCUCAAAAGAUAAGGUAGAAAGAAUUGCACUUCAGAAUGCAAGAAGAAGAAUGCUUGAACUCCUCAAAACAAGACAUGUGUUGAACACCAUGUUUAUUUGAGAGUAUAGCUUGGCGGAUCUUAACUUCGAGAGAAAUCUUGAGGACAAUUGAAGAAUGAAAGGAAUCCUUGACGAACCACCAUGUAGAGCCUCCAUGAAGAACUCCGGUAACAAAAUGAUGAUAAAAAUAAAGAGAAGUUGAAAACACAAGGUGAAGCCUUGUAAUGAUUUAGAUGGAUCUCCGUGGUGAUAUAAUUGCGAGAUCUUGGAACUCCGGGACAAAAGAUGAGCAAUUGAAACCAAGAAUUUUGAUGAACCUCCGGAAUAAGUAAUUGAAUUUACUCGAUGAAACAAGAAUAAGAAUUACAUUAUGCUUAUCCUUCACCAAUUAAAUUGAUGAUCCACAAUGGAUUUUGCAUACUACUUAUUCUUGUAGAAAGGAUUAAGAGAGAGAUAGCGCAAACUUGGGGAGGUCUUCUACGAACCACCGGUAGGAUUGGAAAGAACAAAUGAAUUGAUAUGAUAACCAAGGAAGAGAACUCUUGAACGAACCACCGUAAGAAUUGAAAAACGAAUGAAGUAAAGGGAUGAAUCAUCGGUAAGAAUUUGAAAACGAGCAAAGAUACUUGGGGAAAUUUAGACACAAGAGAAUGAACAGAUCACGAGCUGAUUAGAUAAUACUUGAAUGAUGCACCAGUAUGAUUUGGAGAACGAGAGCUGAAAGCUGGAAUGAAUAAUUCUGAGAUGAUGGGCUCCGGAGAAUCGAACUAAAAAGGCUCCUGAAUUGCUCCGGAUAGGUGAAAAUAAUUCUCACAAUCGAAAACAAUUAUGAGAGGAUGGCAUAAUGCUAGAACCAUGAAUCUUUGAAAGAACGGGUAAAAUUUGGAGGAAAACUCUUCUUCGGUCUUCAAAUGUUGAGAAUGAUGAUGAGAAACCCCACCAUGAAUUGUUUAGACACUCUGGGAGAAUCAAAAGCGAAUAGGUUGAGCCAACGAUGGAAAAAAUUUGAGAGAUCUUAAAGAAAGACAUAUGACUGAUGACAAUUCACACUUACGUCAUACUUUUGAAAAGAACUUGGGAAUCACUCUGGAUAAAUUAGAAGAGUCAGGUAAGAUCCUGGGAAAAGAUCUGUGGGUUAGGGCCCACUCAAAAGAAACACCGUAAGAAUGAUUUAAAAGAUAGAUUGCGCCGGUUGAAUUAAAUAGCUUGUAUGAGGUAACAUCCUCGAAAGAGCUUGAAUGAAAGCAGAGUGGAAACACGAAUCUUCGAGAUAUCUUGAGCACUCCGGAACAAUUGAAUAGCGAGAAGUGGAUGAUUCAGGGGUGCACCGGCAUGAGAAAACAUUUGAAACGAGGAAAAAGAUAUGAUCAACAAAGCUUGAAUUGAAUCCACCGGAGAAGAAAUAGAACGAAGAAUGAUGAACUUGAAGCUCCGUUAGAAUCUUCCUGAGAAUCAUCGGAUAAGAACAUUGACAAAAAAUAAUGGAGAGGCUUCCCAUCAAUAAGAUGGAUACUUGAUUAAGGAACCUGAGGCCUUAAAGAAAAAGGAUGGGAGGGUGGGAAAAACAAAGGCAACUUGGGGACGAAUGAAAUGAACAAUGUUGGGAAACCCGAGAGGUGAUCUUGCGGGUGUUGAAAUGAUCGGACCCACUUGAAGAGGAAAACGCCGGUUGAAAAAGAAUUGGCAUGACCAUCUCGAUGAUCGAAAAGGAUUAGCAUUCCCAUAGAAAUAUGAGAACACCAUUUAGGAAAAACUAUGGAUUCAAAGCAACUCGAAUACCACAGCUCAAAACAAAACAAAGGAUCGGAACAAACAUAUGAUAGAGAUUUCAUCCGAAGUUUUCGUGGUGGGGCCCACACGGCUCGAUCGUCCAACACCAUCAUGUACAAGGCAGUGCACAUGACAUACGAAGCGUCCCCGAGUCAGCAUAGCCAAGGACUCUUUAAGACACAACGAGACCACUGUAAAACCAACUGUGGAUAGGCGGACCACUAGACGUCAAACCCCAAUUUCAUAUCAUACAUCUGUCGGAAAGAUAUCCUAGGAGCUACUUGAAUUCCCACUUAUAAACUCCCGAAACUUUCUGGUUAUGCAAUCAGGUGUUGGGGAUACAGGGGAAGCAUAAUAUCUCACCCAAAACUAACAAAUCCUACAUCUAGCUGUAUCCAUCCUUCAACACAUAACCAAGAAACCUUUAGAAAUCAUUUACCUCAACCUUCGAAAAGCAUCCGUCAUACGAAUUAUGGCAAUACUCCCGAACUCCCGCCCCAGUACUGGGUGGCGUCGAGGUUAUCUCACCAACAACUGCAUAAAAGAGAUUUUUGAUGUCGGUGAACUCAGGUAUUCCAGAACUGCAACGAUAAAAUUGUGACGACAACACCUCGGAGCUCAACUCCCUGGGACACUGCCACAACCCCUAAAUGUUAGGAGGCACCAAGAACAAUGUUCUCGUCACAAGACUAUCGGAACGAUUCCAAGAUACCCGCAUGAUCCUAAAAAAAUUCAUGAAAUUUUAGGAGAGAAGAGUCAAAACUUCUACAUCGGAAGGCCUCACCAGAGCGGCGAAGGGACUGAGGAGUAAAACGAAUCCUACUCACCGAUAUAUAUAAUCCUAAGACUCAAAACAUUUUUCUUCUAGACUCAACAACGUCAGCGAUUCGAUCAAGCAGGGGGCUCCUAAGUCGGGGAUGGCUCUGAUUACCAACUUGUAACACCCACGAUGCGGCUAUAUCUCCCACGUGUCGAAGCACGACUUAGAGGCAUAAACGCAUAGUAGGCAUGUCGCAAGAGGGGUAAUCUUUACACAUCCCAUGUACUGAAUAAGAAAGAGAUAAAGAGUUGGCUUACAAUCGCCACUUCACACAAUACAUAAAAAUAACAUUACAUCAUCCAGAAUACAAUCAAGGUCCGACUACGGAACCAAAUAGAGAAAGACAACCCCUAAUGCAAAAGAUCCCCGAUCGCCCCAACUGGGCUCCACUACUGAUCGACCGGAAAGGAAACAUAAUAACGUCAUGAAUCCUCGUCGAACUCCCACUUGAGUUCGGUCGUGUCCCCUGCACUGGCAUCAUCGGCACCUGCAUCUAGUUUUGGAAGUAAUCUUUGAGUCACGGGGACUCAGCAAUCUCACACCCUCGCGAUCAAGACUAUUUAAGCUUAUGGGUAAGAAAGGGGUAAUGAGGUGGAGCUGCAGCAAGCACUAGCAUAUACAGUGGCUAACAUGCGCAAAUAAGAUCGAGAAGAGAAGCAAAGCAACGGUCGUG
rnacentral:lncRNA from 1 species